rnacentral:rRNA from 1 species
UACGUAGGUGGCAAGCGUUGUCCGGAUUUACUGGGCGUAAAGCGUGCGCAGGCGGUGAUGUAAGUCAGAUGUGAAAUCCCCGGGCUCAACCUGGGAACUGCAUUUGUGACUGCAUCGCUGGAGUGCGGCAGAGGGGGAUGGAAUUCCGCGUGUAGCAGUGAAAUGCGUAGAUAUGCGGAGGAACACCAAUGGCGAAAGCAGGUACCUGGACUAUUACUGACACUCAGCUGCGAAAGCUAGGGGAGCAAACAGG